GAUGAACGCUGGCGGCGUGCUUAACACAUGCAAGUCGAACGAUGAAGCCCAGCUUGCUGGGUGGAUUAGUGGCGAACGGGUGAGUAACACGUGAGUAACCUGCCCUUAACUCUGGGAUAAGCCUGGGAAACUGGGUCUAAUACCGGAUAGGAGCGCCUACCGCAUGGUGGGUGUUGGAAAGAUUUAUCGGUUUUGGAUGGACUCGCGGCCUAUCAGCUUGUUGGUGAGGUAAUGGCUCACCAAGGCGACGACGGGUAGCCGGCCUGAGAGGGAGACCGGCCACACUGGGACUGAGACACGGCCCAGACUCCUACGGGAGGCAGCAGUGGGGAAUAUUGCACAAUGGGCGCAAGCCUGAUGCAGCGACGCCGCGUGAGGGAUGACGGCCUUCGGGUUGUAAACCUCUUUCAGUAGGGAAGAAGCGAAAGUGACGGUACCUGCAGAAGAAGCACCGGCUAACUACGUGCCAGCAGCCCGCGGUAAUACGUAGGGUGCGAGCGUUAUCCGGAAUUAUUGGGCGUAAAGAGCUCGUAGGCGGUUUGUCGCGUCUGUCGUGAAAGUCCGGGGCUUAACCCCGGAUCUGCGGUGGGUACGGGCAGACUAGAGUGCAGUAGGGGAGACUGGAAUUCCUGGUGUAGCGGUGGAAUGCGCAGAUAUCAGGAGGAACACCGAUGGCGAAGGCAGGUCUCUGGGCUGUAACUGACGCUGAGGAGCGAAAGCAUGGGGAGCGAACAGGAUUAGAUACCCUGGUAGUCCAUGCCGUAAACGUUGGGCACUAGGUGUGGGGACCAUUCCACGGUUUCCGCGCCGCAGCUAACGCAUUAAGUGCCCCGCCUGGGGAGUACGGCCGCAAGGCUAAAACUCAAAGGAAUUGACGGGGGCCCGCACAAGCGGCGGAGCAUGCGGAUUAAUUCGAUGCAACGCGAAGAACCUUACCAAGGCUUGACAUGUUCUCGAUCGCCGUAGAGAUACGGUUUCCCCUUUGGGGCGGGUUCACAGGUGGUGCAUGGUUGUCGUCAGCUCGUGUCGUGAGAUGUUGGGUUAAGUCCCGCAACGAGCGCAACCCUCGUUCCAUGUUGCCAGCACGUAAUGGUGGGGACUCAUGGGAGACUGCCGGGGUCAACUCGGAGGAAGGUGAGGACGACGUCAAAUCAUCAUGCCCCUUAUGUCUUGGGCUUCACGCAUGCUACAAUGGCCGGUACAAUGGGUUGCGAUACUGUGAGGUGGAGCUAAUCCCAAAAAGCCGGUCUCAGUUCGGAUUGGGGUCUGCAACUCGACCCCAUGAAGUCGGAGUCGCUAGUAAUCGCAGAUCAGCAACGCUGCGGUGAAUACGUUCCCGGGCCU
rnacentral:rRNA from 1 species